rnacentral:lncRNA from 1 species
AGCAAAUAGGGAGAAACCGGUAAUUGUGUAUCUUUGCAACGCUUUAUACCAUUCCCUUCCUCUCUUACAACCAAAUACAGGAGCAACACCACCUUUCUCCGCUCUGUACUGACUGCACUGCGUGACCGAUAGUCUCCAAAACCUUCCCAGCAGAGGCUUCGAACAUGGUAAUUUUCCUUUUUCACUAAUGAAACUUUAUCCCAGGCAUUUUUUAGUUUUCACUGAUAUUGAUCAUAUGUAGAUUGAACCCCUUAGGGUUUUGAAAUUUCGCUCAGAAAAUGCGUUGCAUUAGCGUCCGAUCUGUUAUCUCAAUAAGCUUAUGUUGUUGUACUGCUUUGAAACUUUGACUUCUAUCGCUUUUGUGAGUGAUUUUCGCUUCGUGUUCAGUUUUCUGUUUGGUAGCUGGGAAAAUUCGAGAAAAUAAGUGAACAUAAUAUAUACUAAUACAGUCGCAUUUUUCUGAAACUUAUAAUUUGACAGUCCAUGUUGUAUAGCAAGUCCGUUCCUAGAAGGAGUGUAUGGGAAGUAGCAGUGGUGCUAUGUUUCUGAUUAUUUUUAGCUUGUUGAUGGACUUGGGGAGUUACAAUUCCUCCUCUCUUUUUUCUUCCCUCUUUUGUAAUGCACCAAUCCGUACAUCAUUUUCUAUAGUAUGUUUAUAGCUGUAUGUAAUGGAAUUGGAGUACUUUCAGCUUCCCUCUAACAGUUCAUCAAACAUAAAGUUGGAAUUCGUUUAUGGUGUGCUAUUAUAUUGCUGCAUUAGAACAAUCUCGUAGUGCUUAGUUUUAGGAACCUAAUAGGUCUUCUGGCUGGAAUAUUUAGGGUUUGUGUUAAUCUCAAUAGCUUGUCGGAUUUGCACUCAAUUGUAAUUGCAUGAAUACUUGUAAAAUGGUGGAAAAAGUAAUGAGAGAAACUUGGUAGUUUCUUCAAUACAUUUCUUCGACUACUUUAAGAAGGAGAACCUGGUAAAGGUUGGAUGAACUAGAAGGGUGUGAAAUACGUGAUGAUCAUCCUGAAAAAAGUCAAUACAGCUUUCACCAACUUAUGUACAAUGCAUAUAUGUGUAUGGGGAAACUAAUGCAUGUUUUUUAUGGAAACUUGACAUGUAAUGUAAGGACUGAAAACUGUGAAGCAAGUACUUGACCAUGUUGUGAUUAAAAACAAUCAUAUAUGUAUGACAGUAUUUGUGGGAGUUUCAAUACACGAAUGUUGUAUGCUUGUUGGUUGAUGGAGUUUUUUGAACAUGCGUCUUUGGUACUUUUGGAAUACACACUGGUGGAGUUAGGCUUAUCUUCCUUUUGUUACAUGAGAAGUCAAGGGCACAUUCAUAACUUUUUGGAUGAACGAUGAAUAAUAUUACAUAACAUGAACUGAGUGCUUGGGACAAGACAUAGGCUAGUUUCUUCUUCUUUUUUUAAAAUCAAUAACAUAACAUGUCAGUGACAUGUCCAGAGAUUUCCCUGGAGAUGUCUUCUUAAGGUAGGUAGUGGGGCAAGGGUUGGCUACAAGCUAGAGCCCAAAUUGUGCAGCCCUUUGUUGCCUUUGGGGUUCCAAAAAGAAGUCAGUUAAACUACACCCCCUUCACGUUAUCAACUGAGAAUGGUUUCUUUCUGUUAACUUUCCUUUCAUACGAACCGACUAUAUAUUUAGCCUAAUUCAGCACCGUAGCAUGUACUGAUAGUGAUACUGUUGAUGACAUUUUGGUGAAGUAUCUCAUCAUUUUUUGGGCAGGAUGGACAUGAUGCAGAUGACCCGAAACAGAGCACUGCUGAUAUGACAGCUUUUGUGAGUUCCAGUUCAACUAUCUUUCUUUUUUUGUUCAUUAUAAAUUAAUUGUACUACUUCUACAUGGGCAUAUGGAUGAGUGUUAUGCAUGUAAAGAUUAAUGACUGUGUGGCCCUAUUUGUGUCCAGUAGUCUGGAGAAAACAGUUUUAUAUAUAACCAUAUUGGGCAAUGAAACCGUUCAAAAUGAGGGUGAAAAAAUAUUUAGAACUGAACGAUGAAGUUGUUAUCAAUUAGUUAAUGUUGAUGAAUUCGUUGGUUGGCCACUAUUCCCAAAUUGAAGGUAUUUUAUUGGUUAAUCAAUAAUUGACGUUUACUUUAUUCAGGGAUAUACUAGGUAGUUUGAUUUAAAUGUGUGUGAUAAUUUGUCACUCCAUUUGCCUUUGCUCAAUCUCUGUUUUGGUUUUUACAGGUACAAAAUCUUCUUCAACAGAUGGUGAGUUUGUUAUGUGUUUGUGAGGUUUUGUAAUUGUGAUGACCGACUCUGUUCAAUGGAUUGUAUGGCUUAUGUUUUUUAAUUUGGCAGCAAUCCAGGUUUCAGACAAUGUCUGACUCCAUCAUCACAAAGAAUAUCCUUCGUUGUUUUGCUUGCCAUUUACAAAUUGAUAUACAUAUUUAUUUUACAUUAGUUUUAUGACUUAUCUUUAGCUAGUUUUAUUAUAACAUUAGAAAACAAAUUUUUUGAAUUAGUCCGUGCUAGCAGUUGUUCUUUCAGUAGGGAAGCAUGUUCAUUUGACGUAUGUCUUUUUUUCUUUCUUUAAUCACAUUUGACUUAUUCUAUGUUGGAGAUUUGGAAUUUCUUUUCAAAGGGCUGCAAUGGAGAUGGAUAUAAAACUAUUAUUAUUAGGUGUUGCUCAAAUAUAGAAACUUCAUUGAUCUCAUUGAUUUGAAUUAUGUUGGUACUUGUUUCCUUGACCACCAUGAUGCACUUGAUGAGAUGGGCAAUAGGAUCGAUGAGUUGGAGCAGAGCAUCAAUGAUCUCAGAACCGAGAUGGGAGUGGAGGGUUCACCAUCUCCUUCAGCCCCUUCAAAGUCAAAUAUCGAACCCAAGUCAGCUGAUGAUUCAACCAACGAGUAGCCACGGCAUGCUGUGUUGCUUUAAUCAAAUAGUGUGUCUACUGCCUGGCUUUUGAGUGUUUAUCUUUACUCUCUUUCAUUUGAAAUGGAAAUCAUACUAUACACAGUAUCUUGGAUUGGAUCAAUGCUCCAUGGAUUUGUAAAACAAGGCCAAGUUUUAAUUCUCAUUUUGUAACAGAAAUGUAGGAAACCCUUGAUGGAUUAUCUGUCUUCAAUUAUGCUGAAAUCCUGGUUCAUUUUCAGAGAUAGAAUUGCUCUCCCGCAUUCAUAUUUUCGUAAUGCAUCUUUACAGGUGUGUGAUUGCCUGACAGCCCAUUUUCU